ACGUACUCCGCUUCGAGAUUUAGAAAAGACAGCCUUGUUCGGAAAAAAGUGAACGAAACAUAACCGUCGCGUGUUCCUCAAGAUUUAAACGGUGACACACGAAUGCACCGAAGAAAUAGAGGGAAUAGAGGGAGAUCGAACGUUGAAAGUGUGCAAAUUCGAGGAAACGGAAUGGCUAACUCUGGUGGGGCUAGGGAUUCUAUCUUUUAUUCAAGGCUGUCUCCGGAAGCAAUUACCCAUUGGUCACGAUGACAGACCAUCAGAAUGUUAUGGUAUAAAUUCGAAAAGAGAACCUUGUCUCAAAGGUUCGAAAGAAUGAAUGAGGAAAUUUGCCGGCAGCUGGACGUAUAUACGC
rnacentral:misc_RNA from 1 species